GCAACGGUGGUUCUAUGGUAGAAUUUUCAUCUUCCAUGUGGGAGAGCCAGGUUCAAGUCCCGGCCAGUGCA
rnacentral:tRNA from 1 species